rnacentral:rRNA from 1 species
GAUGAACGCUGGCGGCGUGCCUAAUACAUGCAAGUCGAGCGAACGGACGAGAAGCUUGCUUCUCUGAUGUUAGCGGCGGACGGGUGAGUAACACGUGGAUAACCUACCUAUAAGACUGGGAUAACUUCGGGAAACCGGAGCUAAUACCGGAUAAUAUUUUUAACCGCAUGUUUUAAAAUUGAAAGAUGUCCUUGCUUCACUUAAUGAUGGUACCGCGUUGGAUUAGCUAGUUGGUAAGGGAAAGGCUUACCAAGGCAACGAUGCAUAGCCGACCUGAGAGGGUGAUCGGCCAAACUGGAACUGAGAAACGGUCAAGACUCCUACGGGAGGAAGAAGUAGGGAAUCUUCCGCAAUGGGCGAAAGCCUGACGGAGCAACGCCGCGUGAGGGAGGAAGGUCUUCGGAUCGUAAAACUCUGUUAUUAGGGAAGAACAUAUGUGUAAGUAACUGUGCACAACUUGACGGUACCUAAUCAGAAAGCCACGGCUAACUACGUG